AGUGAACGCUGGCGGUAGGCCUAACACAUGCAAGUCGAACGGCAGCACAGUAAGAGCUUGCUCUUACGGGUGGCGAGUGGCGGACGGGCGAGGAAUACAUCGGAAUCUACUUUUUCGUGGGGGAUAACGUAGGGAAACUUACGCUAAUACCGCAUACGACCUACGGGUGAAAGCAGGGGAUCUUCGGACCUUGCGCGAUUGAAUGAGCCGAUGUCGGAUUAGCUAGUUGGCGGGGUAAAGGCCCACCAAGGCGACGAUCCGUAGCUGGUCUGAGAGGAUGAUCAGCCACACUGGAACUGAGACACGGUCCAGACUCCUACGGGAGGCAGCAGUGGGGAAUAUUGGACAAUGGGCGCAAGCCUGAUCCAGCCAUACCGCGUGGGUGAAGAAGGCCUUCGGGUUGUAAAGCCCUUUUGUUGGGAAAGAAAAGCAGCAGGUUAAUACCCCGCUGUUCUGACGGUACCCAAAGAAUAAGCACCGGCUAACUUCGG
rnacentral:rRNA from 1 species